rnacentral:rRNA from 1 species
CCUACGGGAGGCAGCAGUGAUGAAUAUUGGUCAAUGGCCGAGAGGCUGAACCAGCCAAGUCGCGUGAGGGAAGACGGCCCUACGGGUUGUAAACCUCUUUUGUCAGGGAGCAAUUGGCGCUACGUGUAGCGUUAUCGAGAGUACCUGAAGAAAAAGCAUCGGCUAACCCCGUGCCAGCAGCCGCGGUAAUACGGAGGAUGAGAGCGUUAUCCGGAUUUAUUGGGUUUAAAGGGUGCGUAGGCGGAAUGCCAAGUCAGCGGUAAAAUCGCGGGGCUCAACCUCGCUCCGCCGUUGAAACUGGCGUUCUUGAGUGGGCGAGAAGUAUGCGGAAUGCGUGGUGUAGCGGUGAAAUGCAUAGAUAUCACGCAGAACUCCGAUUGCGAAGGCAGCAUACCGGCGCCCAACUGACGCUGAAGCACGAAAGCGUGGGUAUCGAACAGGAUUAGAUACCCGGGUAGUC